AGCGUACACGGUGGAUGCCCUGGCAGUCAGAGGCGAUGAAGGGCGUGCUAAUCUGCGAUAAGCGCCGGUAAGGUGAUAUGAACCGUUAUAACCGGCGAUACCCGAAUGGGGAAACCCAGUGUGACUCGUCACACUAUCAUUAACUGAAUCCAUAGGUUAAUGAGGCGAACCGGGGGAACUGAAACAUCUAAGUACCCCGAGGAAAAGAAAUCAACCGAGAUUCCCCCAGUAGCGGCGAGCGAACGGGGAGGAGCCCAGAGCCUGAAUCAGCAUGUGUGUUAGUGGAAGCGUCUGGAAAGGCGCGCGAUACAGGGUGACAGCCCCGUACACAAAAGCGCAUGUGCUGUGAGCUCGAUGAGUAGGGCGGGACACGUGGUAUCCUGUCUGAAUAUGGGGGGACCAUCCUCCAAGGCUAAAUACUCCUGACUGACCGAUAGUGAACCAGUACCGUGAGGGAAAGGCGAAAAGAACCCCGGCGAGGGGAGUGAAAAAGAACCUGAAACCGUGUACGUACAAGCAGUGGGAGCCCCACCACCAAAGCAUUCUCUGGUGUUGAAGGCCCUGCAAAGCAGCAUCGCGGUGGCGGAGCGUCGUUUGCGACGCCCAACACACAAAACAAGCGGUGAGUGCUUUGGGGUGGGGUGACUGCGUACCUUUUGUAUAAUGGGUCAGCGACUUAUAUUCUGUAGCAAGGUUAACCGUAUAGGGGAGCCGGAGGGAAACCGAGUCUUAACCGGGCGUUAAGUUGCAGGGUAUAGACCCGAAACCCGGUGAUCUAGCCAUGGGCAGGUUGAAGGUUGGGUAACACUAACUGGAGGACCGAACCGACUAAUGUUGAAAAAUUAGCGGAUGACCUGUGGCUGGGGGUGAAAGGCCAAUCAAACCGGGAGAUAGCUGGUUCUCCCCGAAAGCUAUUUAGGUAGCGCCUCGUGAAUUCAUCUCCGGGGGUAGAGCACUGUUUCGGCUAGGGGGCCAUCCCGGCUUACCAACCCGAUGCAAACUGCGAAUACCGGAGAAUGUUAUCACGGGAGACACACGGCGGGUGCUAACGUCCGUCGUGAAGAGGGAAACAACCCAGACCGCCAGCUAAGGUCCCAAAGUCAUGGUUAAGUGGGAAACGAUGUGGGAAGGCCCAGACAGCCAGGAUGUUGGCUUAGAAGCAGCCAUCAUUUAAAGAAAGCGUAAUAGCUCACUGGUCGAGUCGGCCUGCGCGGAAGAUGUAACGGGGCUAAACCAUGCACCGAAGCUGCGGCAGCGACGCUUAUGCGUUGUUGGGUAGGGGAGCGUUCUGUAAGCCUGUGAAGGUGGCCUGUGAGGGUUGCUGGAGGUAUCAGAAGUGCGAAUGCUGACAUAAGUAACGAUAAAGCGGGUGAAAAGCCCGCUCGCCGGAAGACCAAGGGUUCCUGUCCAACGUUAAUCGGGGCAGGGUGAGUCGACCCCUAAGGCGAGGCCGAAAGGCGUAGUCGAUGGGAAACGGGUUAAUAUUCCCGUACUUGGUGUUACUGCGAAGGGGGGACGGAGAAGGCUAUGUUGGCCGGGCGACGGUUGUCCCGGUUUAAGCGUGUAGGUGUGUGUUCCAGGUAAAUCCGGUUCACUUUAACACUGAGGCGUGAUGACGAGGCACUACGGUGCUGAAGCAACAAAUGCCCUGCUUCCAGGAAAAGCCUCUAAGCAUCAGGUAACAUCAAAUCGUACCCCAAACCGACACAGGUGGUCAGGUAGAGAAUACCAAGGCGCUUGAGAGAACUCGGGUGAAGGAACUAGGCAAAAUGGUGCCGUAACUUCGGGAGAAGGCACGCUGACACGUAGGUGAAGUGAUUUACUCAUGGAGCUGAAGUCAGUCGAAGAUACCAGCUGGCUGCAACUGUUUAUUAAAAACACAGCACUGUGCAAACACGAAAGUGGACGUAUACGGUGUGACGCCUGCCCGGUGCCGGAAGGUUAAUUGAUGGGGUCAGCGCAAGCGAAGCUCCUGAUCGAAGCCCCGGUAAACGGCGGCCGUAACUAUAACGGUCCUAAGGUAGCGAAAUUCCUUGUCGGGUAAGUUCCGACCUGCACGAAUGGCGUAAUGAUGGCCAGGCUGUCUCCACCCGAGACUCAGUGAAAUUGAACUCGCUGUGAAGAUGCAGUGUACCCGCGGCAAGACGGAAAGACCCCGUGAACCUUUACUAUAGCUUGACACUGAACAUUGAGCCUUGAUGUGUAGGAUAGGUGGGAGGCUUUGAAGUGUGGACGCCAGUCUGCAUGGAGCCGACCUUGAAAUACCACCCUUUAAUGUUUGAUGUUCUAACGUGGACCCGUGAUCCGGGUUGCGGACAGUGUCUGGUGGGUAGUUUGACUGGGGCGGUCUCCUCCUAAAGAGUAACGGAGGAGCACGAAGGUUGGCUAAUCCUGGUCGGACAUCAGGAGGUUAGUGCAAUGGCAUAAGCCAGCUUGACUGCGAGCGUGACGGCGCGAGCAGGUGCGAAAGCAGGUCAUAGUGAUCCGGUGGUUCUGAAUGGAAGGGCCAUCGCUCAACGGAUAAAAGGUACUCCGGGGAUAACAGGCUGAUACCGCCCAAGAGUUCAUAUCGACGGCGGUGUUUGGCACCUCGAUGUCGGCUCAUCACAUCCUGGGGCUGAAGUAGGUCCCAAGGGUAUGGCUGUUCGCCAUUUAAAGUGGUACGCGAGCUGGGUUUAGAACGUCGUGAGACAGUUCGGUCCCUAUCUGCCGUGGGCGCUGGAGAACUGAGGGGGGCUGCUCCUAGUACGAGAGGACCGGAGUGGACGCAUCACUGGUGUUCGGGUUGUCAUGCCAAUGGCACUGCCCGGUAGCUAAAUGCGGAAGAGAUAAGUGCUGAAAGCAUCUAAGCACGAAACUUGCCCCGAGAUGAGUUCU
rnacentral:rRNA from 1 species